rnacentral:rRNA from 1 species
AAUAAUGGACAAUGGGCGAAAGCAUGAUCCAGCCAUGCAGCGUGUGUUAAGAUGGUCUUCGGAUUGUAAAGCACUUUAAGUGGGGAGGAAGGGGUUGCAGCUAAAACCUUCAAUAUUUGACGUUACCAACAGAUUAAGCAUUGGCUAACUCGCUGCAUGCAGCCGAGGUAAUACAGAGGGUCCAAGCGUAAAUCGGAAUUACUGGGCGUAAAGCGCGCGUAAGUGAUUCAGUAAGAUGGAAGUGAAAUCCCCGGGCUUAACCUGGGAACUGCUUUCAUAACUGCUGAGCUAGAGUACGGUAGAGGGUAGUGGAAUUUCCUGUGUAGCGGUGAAAUGCGUAGAUAUAGGAAGGAACAUCAGUGGCGAAGGCGACUACCUGGACUGAUACUGACACUGAGGUGCGAAAGCGUGGGGAGCAAACAGG